UAUCAGCGCAUCUGGCCUUAUUUAUUAAGUGUUUGAGAUAAUUCUAUUCAGAUAGCAAAUGUCGAUGCUACGAGCAAAGAAUUAAGUUUCUAUCAAGGUGAUAUAAAAUAGUUCAAGUACUCUGCAGGUACCAUGCGUUUGCUACUUCUCAUAACAGUGCUGUGGAAAUUCCCUUUUCAUAGAGCCCUGACGUGUUUAAAUUGCAACGACGUUGUGCAGCCACGCCACUGCGCAACGGUCAUGACCUGUCCAGAUAUUGACGUGUGCUUUGUUGAAAGAAGAAUUAAUUUGGUGAAGAACGCUACGCUCUUGGUUGUAUGCGAGAUCAUGUGUGCAGAAAUAUAACAUCAAUAUCGUCGACAAGUCGCUGCGCACAUUGUUACAGUUAAGAUCUGUGUAACCAGGAAGGUUGUGGCGCACCAGGUUAUCCUGAUUCUCGGGGCCCCGUAUGUUACAACUGUUUGGACGCAGUACCCGAAGGUCGGUUUCUUCAAAUUGAAAUUUGUCGACAAGGCGAGAUAUGCAGCGUCAAUGGCAAAGGCAUGUUUGGAACAACUGUGUUUGCAUCGAAAUGCAUUCAACAAGAAAGCUGUGGUGCGCUUCAUGCGAUAGACAUAAUUGGAAAGCGUGGUCAGAUGUCAGCGAUACGUGCAUACGACGUUCAUGACUGCUUUCAGUGUUGAACUGCGGACCUUUGUAGCAGGAACUGCCAUAACAGCGCGGAUGGUCAAUGGGGAACGUUGGGCCGAUGGUCGAUGUGUAAUGUAAAUUGUAAUAAGAUAAGAAUACGGUCGUCCAACAAUCCAGCUCCAGAAGAUGAUGGACGAAACUGCAGAGGUCUUGCGGUUGAAGUUACACAUUGUUCAGUCUGUUUGGGUACAGCUGUUUCAUUUGUUCAAAAUUUGUCAAUAACCUUAAACUAAAAAUUAGGUCUGCAUAAUUAAAUACAUUUUAUAGACCGGUCAUUGCAAGAUAAGAUUUCAAUCCAUUCCCACAGGGUAUAAGACAAUUUGAGGAAAAAUUAAUACUACGAAAUAAUGUGUUGAUUGUUGAAGCAAAAGACUGUUCCGAGUUGUUGGUUCAUGACGCGAGGCUAAGAAGUGGCGUGUACAACAUCACUUCUCCUCUAACUCACGCAAAGGUACCUGUGUACUGUGACAUGGACACUGAUGGAGGAGGCUGGACGAUAUUUCAAAGACGUUUCAACGGAAGUGUUGAUUUUUAUAGAAACUUUAGUGACUAUGAACACGGAUUCGGUCAUGUGGCUGGUGAAUAUUGGCUAGUUGAUUCAAGUCUCACAUUCUUCACAGACUCGGCACAUACACCCGUUGGAAGUGCCUUCAGUACGUAUGAUCAUGAUGUUGACAACUUUGCGACAAAUUGUGCCGAAACGUUCAAAGGUGGCUGGUGGUAUAAUGCGUGUUACUACUUAAUAAACCUUAAUGGUUUGUACAAACCUGGAAUCGAUGAAACCACGUCUAUGAAAUAUGACAUGUCCGGUGGACUUACUUCGAGCACGAUUAUGUUUAAAGGCACGGUCAAGAAAGCAUGAACCUGGUACCGGAAACCGUGAUUUUAACUAUAAGAAAGGAAAGGCAAUUACAAUUUAAAUAUUUGAUUUAUUGCCUUUGGCUUUCCUUUUAGUAGUUAUAAAUAAAAUUCAACACGAA